UAUGGCAUCAUUUAAAUAAUAAAGUUUACGGUGUAAGAUGAGUAUGCGUCCCAUUAGUUUGUUGGUAAGGUAACGGCUUACCAAGACUACGAUGGGUAGGGGCCCUGAGAGGGGGAUCCCCCACACUGGUACUGAGACACGGACCAGACUCCUACGGGAGGCAGCAGUGAGGAAUAUUGGACAAUGGAGGAGACUCUGAUCCAGCCAUGCCGCGUGCAGGAAGACGGUCCUAUGGAUUGUAAACUGCUUUUAUACAGGAAGAAUAAGGACUACGUGUAGUCUGGUGACGGUACUGUAAGAAUAAGGACCGGCUAACUCCGUGCCAGCAGCCGCGGUAAUACGGAGGGUCCGAGCGUUAUCCGGAAUUAUUGGGUUUAAAGGGUCCGUAGGCGGGCUGUUAAGUCAGGGGUGAAAGUUUGCAGCUCAACUGUAGAAUUGCCUUUGAUACUGAUGGUCUUGAAUUAUUGUGAAGUGGUUAGAAUAUGUAGUGUAGCGGUGAAAUGCAUAGAUAUUACAUAGAAUACCGAUUGCGAAGGCAGAUCACUAACAAUUGAUUGACGCUGAUGGACGAAAGCGUGGGUAGCGAACAGGAUUAGAUACCCUGGUAGUCCACGCCGUAAACGAUGGAUACUAGCUGUUUGGAUUUCGAUCUGAGCGGCCAAGCGAAAGUGAUAAGUAUCCCACCUGGGGAGUACGUUCGCAAGAAUGAAACUCAAAGGAAUUGACGGGGGCCCGCACAAGCGGUGGAGCAUGUGGUUUAAUUCGAUGAUACGCGAGGAACCUUACCAGGGCUUAAAUGUAGAUUGACAGGUUUAGAGAUAGACUUUCCUUCGGGCAAUUUACAAGGUGCUGCAUGGUUGUCGUCAGCUCGUGCCGUGAGGUGUCAGGUUAAGUCCUAUAACGAGCGCAACCCCUGUUGUUAGUUACCAGCACAUUAUGGUGGGGACUCUAGCAAGACUGCCGGUGCAAACCGUGAGGAAGGUGGGGAUGACGUCAAAUCAUCACGGC
rnacentral:rRNA from 1 species